GCCGCAGUAGCUCAGUCGGUAGAGCACAUCAUUCGUAAUGAUGGGGUCGUAGGUUCGAUUCCUAUCUGCGGCACCA
rnacentral:tRNA from 2 species